rnacentral:lncRNA from 1 species
GAGUAUGUUGUUUACAGAAUGAAAAGCGAGUUCCACAUAAGCUGAGACUUGGCUUCAGUCAUGCCUGGGAAUCUACAAACUCAAUGCCCUCUCACUGGCAGAACAUAAAAGCUAAAGAUUACCCCUAAUCCCGUGGCAUUUUAAAAUCCAUGGAAUGGGCUUUGGUGCUCAGCAAUUUUCACUUAAAGUCACACACUCUUUUGGAGCUGGGUGCGGUGGCUCAGGACUGUAAUUCCAGCUACAUGAGAGGAUUGCCUGAGGCCAGGAGUUUGAGACCAGCCUGAACAACAUAAUAGACUGGGAGCUCCAUGAGGUCCGAGACAACCUGAAGACGCCCAGCUCAGCAGAGACUGGCUACGGCAAUCACUCAGUAACUAUUUGUUGAAUUGGACAUAAUAGAAGAGCUGAAGAAUUUUAAACAAGUCACCAUCAGUGCAGUGGAUUCCUCAAAGCAAACCUGGAAAUCUCGGCAUGAGUUGGAUUUAAGGCAGUACAUUUUCAGCUCCUGAAAAUUUGAACAGUUUCUCAAGAGAACAACUUGAAACAGAAAGGCAAGGAUGUAGAUGUGGUUGUAGAAGAUGAUGUCUGCGGCCACCAAACUGUCCACUGUGAAGACAAACCAUGCAUGUUUAGUAGGCAGUGGCUCCUCUUCCCUGUGGGGAGUCCCACUGCUUCCCUGGCCUGGGUGUUCUCUGCCGGUAGAUGUUAUUGACAAAAUAAGCAAAGUCCUCUGAUUCUGAGAAUUAGAGUUAAUGAUAGCUCUAGAUUGCCUCUGCCAUGCUAUUUAAAGUCCUGCUUUAUUGUCUGACAUGAGUUCGGCAUCUAUGAGGACUUGUCCAGUGCAAAGUACAAUCUCCACUGAAAGAUAUCACCAGCACAUCUUGUCACUGUGCUGUAGCAAGCUGGGCAGUACAAUGAUGUUGGCAGGAUCCUGUUUAGGUGGAGGAUGGCCACCUGGGCAUCAAGAAUCUUCUACCCUGAUUCCACAUUGACUCCCCAAAGUGGGCUUCAGACAGCUCUUUACUUACGUCUUCUGAUUAAAGCAGCAGACAGGGUCCCAGCUAGAGAAAAGUUCUGGGAGCAGGAGAGGUGUUGGUGGCUUUAAAACCAGGGGUGAAGAUUGAAUUAGGAGGUUAGGCAGGAGUAGGAUCAAAGACUUAGAAAAUGCUUGUUUCCUCCUAUUAUUCUUAUGAGAGCUGAUACGGGGCUUUCAGUUUUGGGGGAGAGCCUUGGAAGAGAAUGAGGGAAUUUAAUCAACUAGCGGGACCUUUCCAACUUACAUUUCCCAGUGUUUGUUGGAUGAUACGUUUGCCUAAUAAGUUAAAGCUUCCAAAAAUAGAAAGGAAAGCUUGGUGACACUAAGCUCUGGCAUGCUGUCAUCUUCUGGCUAGGGGUCUUGUGCUUCUGUUUUUCUAUUUCUGACCAAAGACAUAAAAUGUGUUGUGACCUCUCAGGUAAUGCUGUGGUAUCAUGUCCAAGCAGUAACUAACCAGAGUGGAGUUUUUACAGGUAAAAAAGUAUUGAAUAGCUCAGCAACAGGGAGGACUUAAUGAUAAAUUGCUUUUUCAGAAAAUGACAAGGGGACAGACACUUGCGGUUCUUCCAUUGAGAGCCUUAAGGAAGUUAAGCGAAGCCUCUGCUCACCCCUUCAAGUAACGAUGACCCAUCAGAUCGUGGUCAUAACCAGUAGCAUCUGAGGCACCCCUAAGCUCUCUGGGCCCCAGAUUCCUUGUUAAGUUAAAUGAGGUGACUUCCCAGUUUACCAUUCUAGGGGUUCCUGAGGAGUUAAAAAUGAAGGAGAAAAUGCAACAUGUACCAAGUGAGCAAGAGCUCAAGGCUUAUCUCUGGCACGAAAGUGACCGCUGUCCGUUAGAGAUGUGAUUGCCCUAGAUUUCCUUUAGGAAAUGCAAACAUUGAACUCUGGCCUUCAGGACCCAAGUCCCGGCUUGCAUCUAUUCUAUACACUUUCUGUUAUUUGUUAGGGCUCACAAGGAACAGUUAUUUAUCUUUUAUUUUCUAUUUUUUUUUUAGAGAUGGAGUCUCACUCUGUCUCCCAGGCUGGAGUGCAGUGGUGCCAUCUCAGCUCACUGCAACCUCCACCUCCCGGGUUCAAGCAAUUCUCCUGUCUCAGCCUCCUGAGUAGCUGGGACUACAGGCGUGUGCCAUCAUGCCCGGCUAAUUUUUAGUAUUUUUAGUAGAGGCAGGGUUUCACCAUAUUGGCCAGGCUGGUCUUGAACUCCUGAUCUCAAGUGAUCUACCCUCCUUGGCCUCCCAAACUGCUGGAAUUACAGAUGUGAGCGACCACACCUGGCCCAUUUGUUUUCUUUCAAACCCUUCUGUAAGACCAGUGCUUUAGGUGAACACGUGGACAGAACAAGAUCAUCACUAUUUUGCAAUAUGAAGACCAACUGCGCUGUGACCAGAAAAACAGAGGCAAAAUGUUGAGCUUAAUGAUACCUUUUUAUAAUUUGUAUUUGGUGUUUCUCAAUUUUCCAUUGGAUAGUUUGAGAGAUAAGUACAAGUCAAUGACAUGUUCUCUUUCGUACCCUAUUGUCUAAUCCUGCUAACACACACACACACACACACACACACACUGAUUACCUAAUUUAUCUGUUCCCCGAUUAUUACACUCUCAAUUGCUGCAGAGUCUCAGAAGCAGCAUGGUGUAACAGAAAGAAUAUGAGGCUUAGAAUCCAAAAGCCAGAGUGUGAAUUCCAGCUCCACUGACUUGCUGCGUGACUUGAAGCAAGUCAUUACGUGUCUCUGUUUACUCAUUUUAUGACUUUCCUAUUGCCUCUGUAAUAUAGCACCACAAACGUGUGGACUUAAAACAACAUGCAUUUAUUCUCUUAGCGUUCUGGAGGUCAGGAGUCUGACAUCAAUUUCGUUGGGCUAAAAUCAAGAUGUUGGUAGGACCAAGAUCCCCGUGGAGGCUCUGGGAGAACCCAUUUCCUUGCCUUUGCCAGCUUCUAAUGCUGCAUUCCUUGCAUUCCUUGAUUGUUGACCUCUUCCCCCAUCUUCAAAGCCAGCAGAACAGCACCUUGUUUCAUUGCCUUCUUUACUGUCAAAUCUCCCUCUGCCUUCUUCUUAUAAGAACACUUGUGGUUGCAUUUAGAAGCUGUGAUAAUCCAGAAUAAUAUCUUUAUCUCAAGAUCUUUGACUUGGUCUCUUCUGCAAAGUCUCUUUUGCCACAGAGGGAAAUAUUCACAGGUCCCAGGGGUCAGGCUGUGUACGUCUUUGGGGGACUUUAUUCUGCCUACCACACUCAUCUUUUUUUUUUUUUUUUUUGGAUGGAGUCUUGCUCUGUCACCCAGGCUGGAGUGCAGUGGCAUGAUCUCGGCUCACUGCAACUUCUGCCUCCCCAGUUCAAGCAAUUCUCCUGCCUCAACCUCCCAAGUAGCUGGAAUUACAGGCGCCUGCCACCACGCCCGGCUACUUUUUGUACUUUUAGUAGAGAUGGGGUUUCACUAUGUUGGCCUGGCUGGUCUUGAACUCCUGACCUCAGGUGAUUCCCCCACCUUGGCCUCCCAAAGUGCUGAGAUUACAGACGUGAGCCACCAUGCCCGGCCCCACACUCAUCUAUUAAGUAGAGCUAGGAAUUCCUAUCCUAAGGGACACAAAAAUGAAAAAAGAUAAAAUUUGUGAAGAGGCACAUAAUGAAAGCCCAUACAUGUCACUGAGUUCAGAGGAGGGUGGGUCUGACCUCCCAUUGGCUGGUCUCUGCCUGAUGGACAUCGUGAAGAAGAGAGCCAGGACUAGUGUGGCUGGGGGAUGUUCAGGGGCCAGAGUGGCUUCAGGUGCCAGCAGCCCUGGCCGAAGGAUGACUCCAGGAGCAAGGCUCAGAGCCGAGUGGAAGAAGCUUCAUAAACGCAACUGAGCCAAGCAUGAUGGGAUGUGCCUGUGGUUCCAGCUACUCAGGAGGCAGGUGGGAGGAUGGCUUGAGUCAGAAGUUCGAGGCUGCAGUGAGCUAUGAUCACACUACUGUACUCCAGCCUGGGUGACAGAAUGACACCCUGUCUCUAAAAAGAAAAGGCACCUGGAUGCUCAUGACCGAGAUGGGGUGGGGUGGGUGGGGUGGGACAGCCGCACUUUAUAACUUUGCUUUCAGCAUGAUGUGGAUUAGUGUCUCCCAUGUGGGAAAAUUAUGUUUACCACUUAGAGACCUGAUAGUGCUUGCUUACCCCAUAACGCUGGACGGUGGCAGGCUUAACUCCCCCAUCAAGGGCCUUAAUGUAUUUGGGGCCCUAGUCCUAGCAACAGCAGCAAAUCUCCUUUUUCUUUUCCUCGAGCUGGUUGUUCACCAGGCAGUUGGGAUGUUAAUGGGAAGAGAAGACACACACAAGUCCCUUGUUUUCAAUAAGGCAGUCUGGUCACGUCCUUAGCAGGUUAUUAAUCUUUUUCAAACCCCUCCUCUCCACCAAGUUUUAUGAUCCUGGGAAGGAGAUUCCUACCUAGCAUCCUUAGAGUUAUCGGGGGUUAGGAUCGGUGCAUGCAGUCACUUCCGUGGAAUCAUCAGUAGCCCUCCAGCCUCUGGGGAGAGCUGCCAGUGGUCAGAGAUGUUGGGAAUUACGAGGGAGGAGCUAGGGAGAAGGAACUCACAGUCCCUCAGUCUCUGAAGGUGGCUCCUGGCAGGAGAGGGGGCCAGUCCUAGAUAAGAGCUCUCCCAGGGAAUUCCAAGGGUCCUCCCAAGGUCCAGCCACAAGAUGAGGAAUUACUGUUGGGCUCUUCCUCAGAUGUGCCUGUGAAUUCAUAUCACAGAUGCUUGAUGCAUUUGACAAUUGUUUAAUUGCUUGAGCCCAACUGAUACUCUUUCAGUCACUUUAAGGGAGUGAUUUCAAGUAUGAUCAUUGCCUCAAAUCUGUAUGGCUUUCCUUGCCUUUCAGGUGCUUUAAGAGGGCUUAUGUUCUUUGACUCCCCUAGUAACUCAAAAGGGUGGCUAAGAUGCAACUCUGGAGGUUUCCAAGCUCUCUGCAAAGCCUGCCUUCAGUAGUCUGUGCACCACAAGAAGCAUAACUUUAUUAUCCUCUAGCUGAAUUUACCUCCUGCUUCGAGCCCCUGUUUUCCCAUGUCAUUUUAGGGGUCCAAUGUUUUUCCUGGAGGCAUAUACACACACACACACACACACACACACACACACACACACACACACACACACACAUAUAUACACACACACAUUCCAGGGGCCUCUGAGGUGCCAAGACAUGUGUGGGGUCCAUCUGGUUCACACUGAUGUCCAUGAUCAUUGAGUUCAUUUUUUAUAUCAACUAUGUGACACUUCCUAUAGUUUCCAGUUCCUGGUUAGAAUUUGCAAAGUUGCCGACUAUUUCUUUGAAUAGAGUAGCUAGAUCAUGGGUCUACACCAGUCAUCAAGCAGCGAUUUCCCUGUUGGAAGCUCCAAGCAAAUUGUCAGCUCCAGCAUUCCACACAGCUGUGGGUGCCACACUCCUUUUCCUUUUAAAAGAUGAUGAUCUGCUAGUGGUGAAUGCUCUUGGAGUUUUAUUUGUAGGUUUUUCUUGUUGUCGCAAAUGUCUAUAUUUCAUCUUCCCUCUUGAGGGAUAUUUUCCAUGGGUAGAGGAUCUAGGCUUUUCUUUUGGAUUCCAUUGUGGCUUUAAAAAAAAGUCAGUUGACUGUUUAUUUAUGGCUUCUCUAAAGGUGAUCUCUUUCUUCCUAAGGCUGCUUUAAAAGUUUCCGUUCCCUCCCUCCCUUCCUCCCACCCCAUCCCCCUUCUUCCUUUCCUUCCUCCCUCCCUUCCUCCCUUCUCUUCCUCCCUUUCUCCCUUGUCUUCCUCCUUUUCUCCCAUCCUCCCUUCCUCCCUCUUUCCUUCUUUUUUCCCUUCCUCCCGCCCUCCUUCCUUCUUCCAUCAUUAUAUAUUAAAAUAUUUUCUUUCUUUCUUUUUUUUUUUUGAGAUGGAGUUUCGCUCUUGUUGCCCAGGCUGGAGUGCAACGGUGUGAUCUUGGCUUACUGCAACCUCCACCUCCCUGGUUCAAGCGAUUCACCUGCCUCAGCCUCCCUAGUAGCUGGGAUUACAGGUGCCCGCCACCACACCCAGCUAAUUUUUGUAAUUGUAGUAGAGAUGGGGUUUCACCAUGUGGGCCAGGCUGGUCUUGAACUCCUGAACUCAGGUAAUCCACCCGCCUUGUCCUCCCAAAGUGCUGGAAUUACAGGCAUGAGCCACCACUCCCAGCCUAUUAAAAUAUUUUCUUCUGGGCCUUCCCUCCUUUUACUUCUUUUGAUACCGCCAUCAAAUGCAUGUUAGGUUGACUCACUGUGUACUCUAUUACCCUCUCAUCUGGUUUUUAAUCUUUCUGUCUCCUUAUACUGUAAUCUCAGUGUUUCUUCUGCUUUAAUUUUGGUAUAUGAAUUAUUCAGCUGUGUUCAAAGUGUGGUUAAAGCGACUUAUAUGCUCUUUAAUUUUUAGUUAUUGUACUUUUCACCUCUAGAAGUUCUUCUGUGACACUUCUUAUAGUUUCCAGUUCCUGGUUAGAAUUUGCAAACUUGUUGACUAUUUCUUUGAAAAGAGUAGCUAGAAUUGUUUUAGUCUGUGUAUAGUGAGUUGAAUAUCUGAAACCUCUGUGAGUCUGUUUCUUUUGUCUGCUAGCCCUACUCAUGGCGUCAUGUUUUCCUGGAUGUUUAGUUGGUUGUCUUUGAAUAUGUCCAACUCCAGUUAUUUCUGGGAAUACCCAAAGGCACACCUGUUCACUAUCACCCAGUGAACUGCCAUGUGUUUGUCUCCUGUCAUGGUAACAUUUGCAUUCAGGGAGAGGCCUCUGCUCUCUGCAGAACAGUGUGAAAUCACCUCAUUUUUGCCUUCAAUGAAGGUUGUCUCUUGCUGGUCACCACCACUUCCUCAAAUGACUAAUGCCACUCUUGCUCACAGUGCUAAGGCGCUAAGGAGUUUUCAGAGGGCUAGAGUGAUUCUGCAUCCUCUGGGGUUCUCAGGAAACGAGGCCACAGGGCCAUCUGUGCAUGAGUGACAGUGGGGUGGGGUGGAUGAGCAGUGGCAGUGGUGGGCACCUAUGCUGCUGGCGCCACAGCUUUUUAUAUCUUGGUGAAAACAACGCCUUGCGUUUUCACUUGUAGAUUCUCCGGCUACAUUCCACAAGAACAAAUUCUGGUCACAGAGGCCAGAGUAGACUAUCAGUGUAAUGGCCCUUCCCCUUUGAUGAUAGCAGCUUUUUUCGGGGGAGCAGGGGUGGCCAAACUUCCUAGCCUUAUUUUAUCUUCCUUUCUAGUUCUCCCCAGAGGCUGCUGGGUCCACCUCUCCCUCUGCCAGACAGACAGGCUCAGACAUGCAAGAACGGAAGGGGGUGUGGGGGUUGGUGGGAGGAUUAAGUUGGGGAAAGCCAGUCUUGUCUUUGUAGAUUACCAGAACUGACACACGUACACACACGUACACUCACUCACUCACUCACUCAUCUAUUCAUCUAUUUUUGGCCUAAGUGCCUUUGGACACUUCUUCGGAAAAGCACAUGAACUCUUCGGAGUCUCCUGUUCCACUUGGUAAAUUUCCUAUAGCCACGCACUGAAAGUCCCUGCUGCCCUCCUUCCUCUGAGCUUGUGGGGCCCACAGAUCCCCUGCUCCACUUCCUGCUUCAUUUCAGCUGAUGGUGAGUCCAGGGCAGGCUUGUAGGAAGGGCGGGCUAGGCGUGGGGAACUGCAGCACCCACCCCACCCCCCGCCCCAGUGCUUGUUGCCCCAGCCUCUGUCUCCCUCGCUGUGCCCUUCCCUUAAGCCCCACUCUUGGCCUCCCCAAAGACAGAGUUUGUUCUGUUUUUAUUGAUAGGAUGACACUCCCUCGUUCUAAUACCAUCUGAAUGCCUGAGCAAUUACAUCUUACAACCUCAUGAAAAACACAGCAGCUUGUCACGAUGAAUGAUGUUACCGUGAAUAAUGCAGUUUUGAGUUCAAACUCCUUCUUAUUCCAAGAAUGAGUAAAUAUCCCUAUUCCCUCCCCUCCCCAUUGCAUUUGGGUUUGACAUGACAUGAAUCAUUGUGGUUUUACUCCUGGGUAGAAUUGUUUUUCUGUAUUGCAUUGCCAAUUGAUGGAAGGACAAAAAAAGGAAACUUACCAAUGAGCAGUUUCAGAUGAACUUAAAUUCUCAGAAAUCUUGAAGAAUGAAUGAACUAUAACUUUCUGAAGUUGCAAAAAUGUUCAAGUCGGAAGUGACCCAUGGGAAGCAACCUGGUCCUUAAUUAGGACUGGAAAGAAAACGGAGGCCCAGCGAGGGAACAGUGGCUUCCCCAAGGUCACACUGCAAGUGAGUGGUGGCACUAGUCACCCAGGAGUCCUCCUGACUCCAUGGUAUCCUGACCCCAGACCAGCAGCCUUAUUUGUGGUUAAAGAACGUGGAAAAACAGCUUAUGUUUGAAUUUUAAAAUCAUGCCAGUACUAAAGAUCUGCAUUCCAUGAAUAUUGAGCUUUGCUGUGUGCGGGUUGCUACGAAUUUUGUAACUAUUUUCUCUAAGAGCUCUCAGUAUUUUACAUAUACAAUUCCAUUCUUUAUUGUCCAGGGAAAAAGUUGCAUUUACUGAGCAGUAAGAGGGUGAUUUGAAGUCCCUGGGGUCCCCCACCCUUGUCUUUCUAUGUGAGAUUGUAUUGCAGGGCUCACAUUUAUUCUCUCAGCAGCUCAUUGCACAGACAGUGUAUUUAUUGAGCACCUACUGUGUGCCAGGAGCUAUGUGGUAAGCUAAGCAGACAAAAACUCCUGCUCUCACAAGAAGAAAGAAUAAACAAGCAGACAAUUGCACCUAUAAUGUCAGCCUGGUGUGAUGGCUCACUCCUGGAAUCCUAGCACUUUGGGAGGUGACGAUGGGAGGAUUGCUUUAACUCGGGAGUUCAAGAUAAGCCUGGGCAACCAAGACCCUGUCUCUACAAAAAAAUCAAAAAAUUAGCUGGGGGUGAUGGCAUGAGUCUCUGGUCCCUCGGGACCAGAGGCCUCGGGAGGCUGAGGCGGGUUUAUCACUUGAGCCUGGGAGGUUGAGGCUGCAGUGAGCUGUGAUCACACCACUGCACUCCAGCCUGGGCCACAGAGCGAGACCCUGUCUCUAAAUAAACAAACAACCUAAUGUCAAGUUAGGAAGUGUGGCAAAAAGGAACAAAGUCAGGGUGACUGCCAUUCUAGAAAGGGUGGUGAGGGAAGGUCUCCUUGAGCAGAUCCUGUGGGAGUGGAAGGGUAAGUCACGAGACUCUCUGGAGGAAGAAGAUUCCAGGUGGAAAUGCCUUAGUGGGUGUUAAACGCUUUAACGGGUGUUAGCCAGAAAGCCAGAAUGGCUGGAGCUGAGGGAGUAGAGGAGGCGGCAUAGAAAAUGAGGUCAGAGAUGGAGGCAGGGCCGGAUCACAGAGGGGCACAGAGAACGAGGAGGGAAUUGGAUUUUUGGAAAAGAUUGUGGCAAAAUACAAAAUAUAAAAUACAAAAAUAAAAUAUAAACCAUAAAAUGUACUACCUUUACCAUUUUAAGUAUGCAGUUCAGUAGUGUUAAAUACAUUUACAUCAUUGUUCAACCCGUCUCCAGAACUCUCUGCAUCUUGCAAAAUUAAAACUCUAUGCCAUUUCAACAGUUCGCAUUUCCUCUUCCCUCUCGUUCAUGGCAACCGCCAUUUUUCUUUCUGUCUCUGUAAAUGUUAGUACUUGGGGUAUCUCAUCUAAGUGGAAUCACACAGUGUGUGUCCUUUUGUGACAGACUUAUUUCACUUUGCAUAAUGUCCUUAAUAUUCAUCCAUGUUGUAGCAUGUGUCAGAUUUUCCUUCCUUCUUAACAUUGUGUAAUAUUCCAUUGUACGCAUAGACUACAUUUAGCUUAUCUGUUCACCUGUGGAUGGACACUUGGGUUGCUAUAGUGAAUAAUAUUGCUGUAAAUAUGGGUAUACGAUUAUCUCUUUGUGACCCUGCUUUUAAUUGUUUUGGAUAUAUACCCAGAAAUGGAAUUACUGAAUCAUGUGGAGAUUCUGUUUUUGAUUUAUUUAUUUAUUUUUAAUUUUUGAGAUGGAGUCUCGUUCUGUCACCCAGGCUGGAGUGCAGUGACACGAUCUCUGCUCACUGCAACCUCUGCCUCCUUGCACCAUUAAUUCUGAAAAUGCAGGCCUGGAUCCAACCGCCUUUGGGGACGGGUACCUGCCCACAGGAAGAGGUUGAGGAGACAAUAAUGUCACGAGAAUCAUCAUCUUUGACUGGGAAAUGGUGUGCAGAGUUUCUGGUGCCUUCUGAAGUGAUUGUCGCAUCUCAGCCUCCCUAGUAGCUGGGAUUACAGGCAUUUGCCACCAAGCCCGGCUAAUUUUUGUAUUUUUAGUAGAGACGGGGUUUCAUCAUGUUGGCCAGGCUGGUCUCAAACUCCUGACCUCAGGUGAUCCACCUGCCUCAGCCUCCCAAAGUGCUGGGAUUAUAGGUGUGAGCCAUGCACCUGGCCUGAUUGGUUAUUUAAAUUCUGAGAUGGGGUAUACUAAUGUUUGAAAACCACAGGGAUGGGAUAGGUAUAGGUGGGGAGGGAGAGCAAAAGUGGUAUUUAGAAUAUGUUACGUUUGAAAAACCUAAUACACAUUCUACAUCCAAGUGGACAUAGAUGGAGUUAUUUGA